GAUGAACGCUAGCGAUAGGCCUGACACAUGCAAGUCGAGGGGCAGCAUAGAGUAGCAAUACUUUGAUGGCGACCGGCGCACGGGUGAGUAACACGUAUGCAAACUACCUACAUCAGGGGAAUAACCCGGAGAAAUUCGGACUAAUACCGCAUAAUACAGGGAUGCCGCAGGGCAAUAGUUGUUAAAGAUUACUAGGAUGUAGAUGGGCAUGCGUUCCAUUACCUAGUUGGUAAGGUAACGGCUUACCAAGGCAACGAUGGAUAGGGGAACUGAGAGGUUUGUCCCCCACACUGGAACUGAGACACGGACCAGACUCCUACGGGAGGCAGCAGUGAGGAAUAUUGGUCAAUGGACGAGAGUCUGAACCAGCCAAGUCGCGUGAAGGAAGACUGCCCUACGGGUUGUAAACUUCUUUUGUACAGGAAUAAAAGACAUUACGUGUAAUGUAUUACAUGUACUGUACGAAUAAGCAUCGGCUAACUCCGUGCCAGCAGCCGCCGUAA
rnacentral:rRNA from 1 species